GGGUCAGGGUGAUUAAAUAGUACACGGUGUGCCAGGACAUGAUGCUGUGUCUUCUCUCCUGUUAUUGUUCCUCCUAGUUCUCUCCUGUUAUUGUUCCUCCUAGUUCUCCCGCCCAGGUCCCCAGUCCGUGCCUCUGCAGCUGAGCGCCCACUGGCAGUGUGGGACAACCCUCACACAGGUCUCUGUGGAGUACAGUUACCGGCCUGGUGCCACAGCUGUGCCCACACCACUCACUAACGUCCAGAUCCUUCUGCCUGUGGGGGAGCCUGUGACCAAUGUCCGUCUGCAGCCUGCUGCCACUUGGAACCUAGAGGAGAAAAGGCUUAUGUGGAAGCUUCCAGACGUGUCUGAGGCAGGGGGCUCUGGCCGCCUCUCCGCCAGCUGGGAGCCGCUCUCCGGGCCCAGUACACCCAGCCCCGUGGCUGCACAGUUCACCAGUGAGGGUGCCACUCUGUCAGGCGUGGACCUGGAACUGGUGGGCAGUGGCUACCGCAUGUCACUGGUAAAGAGAAGGUUCGCCACAGGUACUGGUCUGCCCUGCCCCUGCACAACCCCAGGAGGAGUUGGGACCAUGAUGGGGAGUAGGGGGGCUGGGAGCAAGCACUACCUCCUGCUUCUGCCAGGAUGUGGGGAGGGAUUUGGGCAUGGGGCUGUUUGAGAAGGAUAGGUGGGUGUCAGGACCAGGAGACCCAGGAUGGGAAAUGCACAGGUGGGCAGGGGGGUGGGAGUCAGGGCUCCAAUGGGAGGAGACAAGAAGAAAGAUGCAUGUACCUGGGGCUGGCCU